GCUGAUCUCGCCGGGAAAUGACGUCAGCUGUAUGUUUUCCAGCGUUCCGUCCAUGAUUCCAGGGUUUCUUCGUCUCCCCAGUCUCCAAGUAAGUGGCUUUUCUUCUUCUUCUUCCAAGAAUUGUGGGAAAUGAUAUGAAAUUAGACCUAAGAGAAUGCAAGUGGAGUUGCAAUACGGAAGAAACAGGGGAAUUGGAGCACUGUGGACUUGUGGAGUUGGAAUGGUGAUGAAACAGGGGGAUUAGACUACUGUGGGAUUCUGUAGCAGAUGAGGAAGAGAGAGAGAGGGAAAGAGAGGAGAAGGGAACAAAAGAAGAGAGGAGAUUUAUGUUGCUGUGGAUGCUGGUGUGGGAAGAACAGGAGGUGGGUAUUUAUAGGCAGAGAGCUCUCAAUUGUUGCUCCUAAUUCUCUGCUGCUUCUGGGGAGAUAAUGGAGAAGAAGGUCUGCUUCCCUUUGGGAACAGAGGAUGAUUGGAUUGGAGGCUCACCUGGGUCCCACAGUGGGACAAUCUUAUGUGAGAACAAGACCCACUCAAAGCUUUACCCUUUGUGUCCUACAGGAGGAGCAUUGGAGGCCAAAAGCCAACUUUUGGCAUUUAUAAGCCCAGCUGUUCAUGUUGUCAUGCUUUAAAUUGUGUAGCUUAGGCUCCACUGGGUGAUCCCAUUAGAAUGAACUUUGAUGGAUGAGAGAAGGGAAGAAGCAUCUCUGAAGCAUUAUUCUAUCAAGAGACCACUCUUGAUUUCUCUAAAUUAUGAAUCUAAUAUUAGAUUUAGCUGGCUCUUAAGCUUGUAAAUGUUACCCAUAUAGAGAAAUACAGAGAGAAAGCAUGUGUUUGAGAAUGAAGAGAGCUGCAUUAUUGGGGUUUUGCAAAAUAUAAGGUGUGCAAAGACAAAGCUUUGGUUAUAUGCAGUGUUGGUGUACAUUUGCUUGUGAGUCACUUUAAAGAAGCAACAGAAGUAGUGGUGGGAUGGGAGAUGUCAUUGUGCUAGUUUUGCAAAGAGUCCAGGAUCUGUGGACAAAGAUGAUUAGAGUACAUCUUAUUAUCUCUACAGAUAGAGAGGAGAGAGGUCAAGCCAUUCCCACAUCAAGUCAGUUCUUAUAGUUGUUGAAGUAGCAAACUAAAUUACAAGUACAUGACAGACACUUGGCACCUUUUGAAGGGUAUUGAGUUGUGGGUCUUUGACAGGGACCUGGUUUGAGAGUCUGAAGCCAUAAGUACUACUGAACAGAAAGAGGACACAUGUAUGGGGGUGCCACCAUAAUUAGAUAAGACCCCAAUCUUAUCUUCUCUGAUAUAGCAUCUCCAUAUAUAAUAUAUAUAUUACUUUCCAAAUAACACUUGCACUCCAUAUAAUUCUCAAUGAUUUAUUUCUCUUUGCUUGGCAUAGAAGACCUGUUCUUAAUCAUUUACACAGCAAAAUAAUUUCUUGAUGACAACAAGUUACAUUGUUAGGAAAUUAUCAGUUACUGACUUUGUUAGGGUGUACAUUCUUUUGAACUUUGCUGCCUCUGCUUUGAUACUCUCAACAUAAUUUACUCUGCUUUCUUUCUUUCUUCAAGAAUAAGUGAGUACACCAAACUGUUUAAGCAUUUCUUCCAGAAAUAAGAAUGUCAAUGGUAGUCAUGGGUAUUAGGUUUCAUCAAGAAAAUAUUAUUGAUAGAAGACUAGUCCUUGGCAGUACAUUUGGUCAUUUAAUAGGUUUGGUCAAGAAUAUUGCCAACUGGCAACAAGUGUGUGGUAAGGUUUUCAAAGAAAUGGUCAAGCAUGGUAUGGCUUUAUGAACACAUUGCUACUUCUUGUGACUUUUGACUUGGUAGUCUGCUAACAUCACAAACCAAAAUCACUAAAUAGGUUGUAGAUUGUGCUGCAUUUACGAGGAAAGAAACAACACAUUUGUUUGGCUAUAUUGUUCCAUAGAAUAUUUGCAGCAUCCUUCUAUUAACUCUCCAUCUGCUACCCAACUCCUCAUUUAUCAUCUUAGACUUCAUGGUUCAUCUGCUAAGCUGAGUAGAGUCUCUGUUCAACCAGUUAUCAUCCCUCAUCUUCAUGACAAUGCUGUGAUCUGUCUCGAGUCAUUUCUUGUUGAGGAAAUUGUAGGAUUAAAUGGUCGAAUAUAGGACCUCAUGAAUCACUGUUAAAGUGCUAUGUAUAAAGAUUUGAUCUUUAUACAUAGCACUCCAUUAGAAUACCACGAAUGAUUUGUCCAAAGGAAGCACUGCUCGAAAGAACAUUCUCAUCGAGUACUACCACACUCUAGGAUGCUAAGAUUGUUAACCUCAACAGGUGAUACCCAUCUCCAUUGUUAUGAAAAGGAAUGGGUCAUCUGCAGCUCAUCAUUCGAGCAAUGCUGAAACACAUUCUUCUUCCAUAGACCAACAAGCUUGCAAGAUCAGUAGUUCAUCAGUCAAAAGCAUCAAAUUUUGCAGCUUAUGCCGUGUCCUUGAUAAGCAUCAGUGUGCCAUUUCAGGUAUGAAGUAAGAGAAUUGAUGGACACGAGGAAGAUUCUUGGUGGCUUUUGCAGUGCAGAGACAAAAAGGUUGACAAGAUGCAAGUGAUAUGAAGGAAGAACCACAGCCACGAGACUUCUCUGGCCAUAAAAGCAUGGAUUUUCCUCUCUUCUUCCAUCUCAAUCUGAAUGGAAAAAGGAUCCACAGGUGCUUAUCCUUUGCCUCUUGUGAUUCUAAUUAAUUAAACUAGUCGUAGUCGAGUUGUUGUCCGAGCCAAAUUAACAUGUUUUUCUGUCUUCGGUUUUAUUCCUCGAUCAAGUGUAGCUCUAAGAACUAAUGUGAAGGAAGCCCGGCUUUGGGCUCGCUUCCGUUGACAUUUUGAAUGCAAUUGGAUGUUGACCGAGAUUGACAUUUGUUCUUCUUCUCUUUCUUUUUCCUUCUUUUUUUGCGUUGCUUUCAGACUUCUAAGGAUGGUUUGGAGAAAUAGGAUGGCCGCCAUGAAGCUUCUACUCCAAAGUCGUACAUGGAUCCGGUCGAUGGGGCCCAUCACCUUUGUGACUUCCCCUCCGUGUCCCGUGAGAUGUGGGCGCCGACCUCUGACUUUUUAUUGUAUCUGUGGGGUCCACAAAAUAGUCAUUUUGACUCUUUUACUCUGAUGUCUAGUGAGAAAUCGAAGCCGAUCGCUGACCUUUUUUUAAUCUGCGGGGUCCACAAAAUAGCCAUUUUGACUCUUUGACUAUGAUGUCUCAUGAGAAAUCGAAGCCAACCGCUGACUUUUUUUUUUUUCUUUAUCAGCGGGGGCUACAAAACAGCCAUGACUCUGAGUCUGACUUUGAUUUCUCAGGGAGCCGAUCGCUAAGUGUGGGGUCCACAAAAUAGCCAUUUUGACUCUGACCCUGUUGUAUCACCA
rnacentral:lncRNA from 1 species